ensembl:lncRNA
CCUCCCCACAUUGGGGGGGUGCAGAUUUUGGGGUGGGGGGGUUACAAACGUGUCUUACCAGGAUACAAACCCUUAUACCAACCAUACACUGAGGUGUGGAGGGGGGAGCACUAGGAUCAGCUGCAAGCCAGCAGUGGCAAAAGCCAUCACAAAGGUGGCUGCAGUGACAAUAAAACACAAUUAAUUAAUGACGGGGUUAAUUAAGCGACACCCCCGGCGCGCCGCCGGGACAACAACAACAACAACAACAACAACAACAACAACAGCGUUCGCCCCCCCCACCCCCAAAAAAAAAUAACCGGACGCGGAAACGGCGAACCCCGAAAUUGGGAUACCCCAAAAAUGGGAUACCCCAAAAAUGGGAUAUACUGGGAUGGGGACACCCCAAAAACGGGACACCCCAAAACUGGGACACACCAGAAUAGGGACACCCCAAAACCGAGAUACCACCGGAAUGGGGACACCCUGGAACCAGGGAAACCCCGAGAACGAUGGGGACACCCCAAAACUGGGACACCCCAGGAACGGGGACAGCCCCGGAACCAGGGACACCCCCGGAACCAGGGACACCCCCAGAAUGGGGACACCCCCAAACCUCGGCCCCAAGGGGUGCAGGGACACAGAGAGACACAGAGAGAGCGGCGCCGGCACGGCACGAUGGACUCGGCCAACGAGACGUUGACCAAGCUCAACGAAAGGUUGGACUACCUCAACAGAAGGCUGGCCAACGUCAAUGGAAGGUUGGUCAACCUCAACAGAAUGGUCAACCUCAAUGGAAGGCUGGACAACCUCAACGGAAUGGUCAACCUCAAUGGAAGUUUGGCCAACCUCAAUGGAGGGUUGGCCAACCUCAAUGGAAGAUCGGUCAACCUCAAUGAAAGGUUGGCAAACCUCAGCAGAAGGUUGACCAACCUCAAUGGAAGGCUGGCGCACCUCAAUGGAAGGUUGGACAACCUCAGCGGAAGGUUGGACAACAUCAAUGGAACUUUGGCUAACCUCAAUGGAAGAUUGGUCAACCUCAAUGGAAGGUUGGCAAACCUCAAUGGAAGGUUGACCAAUGGGAGGUCUACCCAUAGGCUUGGCCAGCUGGCCAACUUGGACACUUGACCAAUGGGUGGUUGGCCAAUGGAAAGUUGACCCAUAUGCUGAGACAGCUUAAGAUGUUUGGCCAAUGGAAGGUUGACCAAUGGAAGAUUGACCGAGGUCUACCCACAGCCUUGGCCAACCAACGGUAGCCUUGGCCAACUGUAGCCUUCGUCAACCAUAGCCUUGGCCAACCAACAGUAGCCUUGGCCAACCAGAACCUUGGCCAACCAUAGCCUCGGUUACCUGAAGUUUGCCCACCUGGAACCUUGACUAAUUGUAGCUUGGCCAACUGUAGCCUUGGUCAACCAUCCCAUUGGUCAGCCAUAACCUCGGCCGCCUGUAGUUUGGCUGUCUGUAGCCUUGGCCACCGACUGUAGCUCUGCUGGUACCUUGACUAGCCGUGACCUUGGCCACCACCUGUAGUCGAGCAGUGACCGGUGCUUUGGCCACCUGUAGCCUUGGCCAUUGGUAGCCUUGGCCACCUAAAUCUGGGUCACCUGUCCACCUGUAAAUGUGGCCACCCACAAUUUGGCCACCUUGACCACUGGUAGCCCUGCCCACUUCUAGUUUGGCCACCCAGUAGUCUUGGGCCACCUGAGUCCUAUCCACUUGUAACCCUGACCACUGGUAGCCUUGGUCACCUGUAGCUUGACCACCUGAACCCUUGACCACUGGUGGCCUUGGCU